ACGCUCGACACCUACGGGAGACAGCAGUAGGGAAUCUUCCAUAAUGGACGCAAGUCUGAUGGAGCAACGCCGCGUGAGUGAAGAAGGUUUUCGGAUCGUAAAGCUCUGUUGUUGGUGAAGAAGGAUAGAGGUAGUAACUGGCCUUUAUUUGACGGUAAUCAACCAGAAAGUCACGGCUAACUACGUGUCAGCAGCCGCGGUAACUGAGCGGGCUGGCAAGGC
rnacentral:rRNA from 1 species